rnacentral:rRNA from 1 species
GAGUACGUGAAACUGUAUGGCAGCAAACGUAGCCUUCCUCGAAGUUUCCCAGGCGGAUUCAGCCUUGAGCCGUGGUGGCCCUGGCCCUCGGAUCAGCAAUGACCGAUGGUUGGGCGUCUGCCAUGGUUAUGGGUGCAUCUCCGCCUGGUGUCACGGUGGGAACUGUUGGCAUCGGACCUGUGGCCCGGGAUGAAGUUGUGGUUGGUUUCGGCCGGCUGCAGCUCCUGGUGUCCUGGCUCCGGAGCCGACAGGCCUGAGAUCGACUCGUAUAGCGAGUAACCUUGCUGUUACACUUGUCGGUCUUUCCCCACCGAGUAGGUCGGUGGAGGCUACGACCCGUCUUGAAACACGGAACA